AUUGAACGCUAGCGGGAUGCCUUACACAUGCAAGUCGAACGGAGUGGCGAACGGGUGAGUAAUGUAUCGGAACGUGCCCAGUCCUGGGGGAUAACUAUGCGAAAGCGAAGCUAAUACCGCAUACUAUUGGCGCGGCCUAUGUCGGAUUGGCUAUCUGGUGGGGUAACGGCUCACCAAGGCGACGAUCCGUAGCCGGUUUGAGAGGAGGACCAGCCACACUGGGACGGAGACACGGUCCAGACUCCUACGGGAGGCAGCAGUGGGGAAUUUUGGACAAUGGGCGAAAGCCUGAUCCAGCAAUCCCGCGUGUGUGAAGAAGGUCUUCGGAUUGUAAAGCACUUUAAGUUGGGAGGCGUUACCAACAGAAGAAGCACCGGCUAACUUCGUGCCAGCAGCCGCGGUAAUUC
rnacentral:rRNA from 1 species